rnacentral:rRNA from 1 species
ACGGUAAAUCAAGCCUGAAUAUGGGACUAAUCGUACUAGAGUUACUUACGAGGGGGUAUUAAAGUACUGCUGGUGUAGAGAUGAAAUUCUGUCAUACCUCGUUNCACANGAAACACUACGGCACAGGUAUAGGCGAAAGCAUCUCCUUAUGUGAUAACUGACGUUGAAGGACGAAGGCUUUGUGUAGCGAACAGGAUUAGAUACCCCAGUAGUCAAAGCAGAAAAUGAUGAAUGUCAUAGAUUAGAUAUAUAGUUUAUUCUAUAAAUGAAAGUGUAAGCAUUCCACCUCAAGAGUAAUUUGGCAACAUUGGAACUGAAAUCAUUAGACCGUUUCUGAAACCAGUAGUGAAGUAUGUUGUUUAAUUNGAUAAUCCGCAAAAAACCUUACCACAAUUUGAAUAUUUUAAUUUUUAUUCUCUUUAUCUGUUUUUGUAUUGCCUUGCUUGAUUUUUUACUANNANAANUUAUGUNANANANAAAUAANAANAAGANAAUAAAAAUUAAUUUACAAGCGUUGCACGGCUGUCUUCAGUUAAUGUCGUGAGAUUCUGGUUAGUUCCAUUAAUUAACGCAAACCCUUACUUUAUUU